rnacentral:rRNA from 1 species
GAUAAACGCUGGCGGCGUGCCUAAUACAUGCAAGUCGAGCGAACAGACGAGGAGCUUGCUCCUCUGACGUUAGCGGCGGACGGGUGAGUAACACGUGGAUAACCUACCUAUAAGACUGGGAUAACUUCGGGAAACCGGAGCUAAUACCGGAUAAUAUAUUGAACCGCAUGGUUCAAUAGUGAAAGACGGUUUUGCUGUCACUUAUAGAUGGAUCCGCGCCGCAUUAGCUAGUUGGUAAGGUAACGGCUUACCAAGGCAACGAUGCGUAGCCGACCUGGGAGGGUGAUCGGCCACACUGGAACUGAGACACGGUCCAGACUCCUACGGGAGGCAGCAGUAGGGAAUCUUCCGCAAUGGGCGAAAGCCUGACGGAGCAACGCCGCGUGAGUGAUGAAGGUCUUCGGAUCGUAAAACUCUGUUAUUAGGGAAGAACAAAUGUGUAAGUAACUAUGCACGUCUUGACGGUACCUAAUCAGAAAGCCACGGCUAACUACGUG